rnacentral:tRNA from 1 species
GCCCGGGUGGCGGAAUCGGCAGACGCAGGGGGCUUAAACCCCCCGGCUCCCCAGGGAGCGUGUGAGUUCAAAUCUCACCCCGGGCACC